CCUUUUAAAUCAUGUGUAGGACCGAGCUAUGAUGCAAGCAAUGUUUUUCUUUAGUGCUGGAGCAGUUUUUGGUUAUUGCUAUCGUCAUUACGAUGCUAAAGUUAAAAAAGCCAAUGAUUCAAAAUAAAUGAUUAAAAAGCCUGCUUCUUGAGUAGGCUUUUUU
rnacentral:ncRNA from 19 species